CCACCUUUGACAUGGCAGGAAGUUUCCAGAGAUGGAUUCGUGCUCGAAAGAGAACCUGCACACAGGUGCUGCAUGGCUGUCGUCAGCUCGUGUCGUGAGAUGUUGGGUUAAGUCCCGCAACGAGCGCAACCCUUGUCAUUAGUUGCUACAUUCAGUUGAGCACUCUAAUGAGACUGCCGGUGACAAACCGGAGGAAGGUGGGGAUGACGUCAAGUCCUCAUGGCCCUUAUAGGUGGGGCUACACACGUCAUACAAUGGCUGGUACAGAGGGUUGCCAACCCGCGAGGGGGAGCUAAUCCCAUAAAACCAGUCGUAGUCCGGAUCGCAGUCUGCAACUCGACUGCGUGAAGUCGGAAUCGCUAGUAAUCGCGGAUCAGCAUGCCGCGGUGAAUACGUUCCC
rnacentral:rRNA from 1 species